UACAGAGGGUGCUAGCGUUAAUCGGAAUUACUGGGCGUAAAGCGUGUGUAGGUGGUUAGAUAAGUUAGAUGUGAAAUCCCCGGGCUUAACCUGGGGACUGCGUUUAAGACUGUUUAGCUUGAGUACUGUAGAGGAUAGUGGAAUUUCCAGUGUAGCGGUGAAAUGCGUAGAUAUUGGAAGGAACACCAGUGGCGAAGGCGACUAUCUGGACAGAUACUGACACUGAGACACGGAAGCGUGGGGAGCAAACAGG
rnacentral:rRNA from 1 species